rnacentral:tRNA from 1 species
GUAGUCGUGGCCGAGUUGUUAAGGCGACAGACUCGAAAUCUGUUGGGAUAUUUCCGCGCAGGUUCAAAUCCUGCCGAUUACG